rnacentral:rRNA from 1 species
GAGGAUGCGAGCGUUAUCCGGUUUUAUUGGGUGUAAAGGGCGUGUAGGCGGGAGUGCAAGUCAGAUGUGAAAACUAUGGGCUCAACCCAUAGCCUGCAUUUGAAACUGUAUUUCUUGAGUGCUGGAGAGGCAAUCGGAAUUCCGUGUGUAGCGGUGAAAUGCGUAGAUAUACGGAGGAACACCAGUGGCGAAGGCGGAUUGCUGGACAGUAACUGACGCUGAGGCGCGAAAGCGUGGGGAGCAAA